UACGUAGGGCGCGAGCGUUGUCCGGAAUUAUUGGGCGUAAAGAGCUCGUAGGCGGUUUGUCGCGUCGGCUGUGAAAACCCGGAGCUCAACUCCGGGCCUGCAGUCGAUACGGGCGGACUAGAGUUCGGUAGGGGAGACUGGAAUUCCUGGUGUAGCGGUGAAAUGCGCAGAUAUCAGGAGGAACACCGGUGGCGAAGGCGAGUCUCUGGGCCGAAACUGACGCUGAGGAGCGAAAGCGUGGGGAGCAAACAGG
rnacentral:rRNA from 1 species